ensembl:snoRNA
CCGCAAGCCUUCCAGCGUGGAGGGGCCUGGAGUGGCCCCUGCCGUUCCUACAGCGCUUGCCAGAGCAACCCCGGGACGGUUUGAGGCCUCUCCCUGCCUCUCCGGGGGGGGGUUAUAGAUAUCCCGGACACGC